GGAAGGAUCAUUGAAUCUAUCAAUACCAACACUGUGAACAAAGUUGUUCGGUCAGCUGGGCAGACUUCAUUGACUGUCCAGCGCCCAAGGCACUGCAUUCGUGUGGGUCCUUGGGGAUUCGCUAUGGCGAACUGACUAUCUUUUUAGUCAGACCUCACCAUAGUUGGGUCGGCCCCCCUUCCAACCCCAACACCAAACCAAAACAACUAAAGCUUAACUGUGCAGUCGGCCUGGCCGCUGCAUUUAACCAAGACAACUCUCAACAACGGAUAUCUUGGCUCUCGCAACGAUGAAGAACGCAGCGAAAUGCGAUACGUAGUGUGAAUUGCAGAAUUCCGUGAAUCAUCGAAUCUUUGAACGCAUAUUGCGCUCGAGGCUUCGGCCAAGAGCAUGUCUGCCUCAGCGUCGGGUUAAUAUCGCUCCCCACUCACCCCGUGUGAAUGGUUAAGCGGAUCUGGCUGUUCCAGCUAGGCGUGUGAGCUUGCUCACAUCAACGCUCUGGAUCAGCUGAAGUACAGAGGCUAACCAAGGACCCGUCAAGGGCCGCAACUGGGUAGGCAAUUCGUUGCUAUUCUUAGUUGUUGGUCUGGGACCCUGUGUUUGGCCCUCUAACCAGGAAUAACCCUUCAUUUUCUCGACCUGAGCUCAGGCAAGAACACCCGCUGAACUUAAGCAUAUCAAUAAGCGGAGGAAAAGAAAGAAACAUCGAUCGGAUUAGUAACGGCGAGUGAAACUCCGAUAGUCCAACUUGAAAAUCUCCCUUUGGAGAAUUGUAGUCUAUAGAAGCGCCCUCUGCGGCGGUCGGAGCCCAAGUUCACUGGAAAGUGGCGUCAGAGAGGGUGAGAACCCCGUCGGCUCUAGACUUAGCUGCUCCACGAGGUGCUUUCCAAGAGUCGGGUUGUUUGGGAAUGCAGCCCAAAAUGGGAGGUAAAUCCCUCCUAAGACUAAAUACCGGCGAGAGACCGAUAGCGAACAAGUACCGUGAGGGAAAGAUGAAAAGAACUUUGAAAAGAGAGUUAAAAAGUGCUUGAAAUUGUUGAGAGGGAAGCGAUUGGAGGGUGCGGGUGCGCCUAGGCUUAUGCGUCUCUAACGAGCCGCUGUAUGUGCUAGGUGCUGGUCAGCAUGGGUUAGCCGGGCGGGAUAACAGCGGGGGUUGAUACCCCGUCUAUGCCGUCUGGGUGAUCAAGGAGUGAAUGGCGCUCGGUCCUUCGGGAACUGCGUCAUCAAGAUGCUGGCAGAAGCCCUUCAAUCGGCCCGUCUUGAAACACGGACCAAGGAGUCUAACAUGUAUGCGAGUUGGUGGGUGGAAAACCCAUGAAGCGCAAGUAACCUGACUGGUGGGAUGGCCUGUGCCUGCACCAUCGACCGACCAUGAUCUUCUGUGAAAGGUUUGAGUGCGAGCAUACCUGUUGGGACCCGAAAGAUGGUGAACUAUGCCUGAGCAGGGUGAAGCCAGAGGAAACUCUGGUGGAAGCUCGUAGAUGUGCUGACGUGCAAAUCGCUUUUCGGACUUGGGUAUAGGGGCGAAAGACUAAUCGAACCAUCUAGUAGCUGGUUUCCUC
rnacentral:misc_RNA from 1 species